GAGUUUGAUCGUGGCUCAGAACGAACGUUAGCGGCGCGCCUAACACAUGCAAGUCGUGCGAGAAAGGGCUUCGGCCCCGGUAAAGCGGCGCACGGGUGAGUAACACGUAGGCAAUCUGCCUUCGAGUGGUGGAUAACCUUCCGAAAGGAGGGCUAAUACAGCAUGAGACCACGGGUUCGUAGAACCUGCGGCCAAAGCGGACCUCUUCACGAAAGUUCGCGCUUGAAGAUGAGCCUGCGGCCCAUCAGCUAGUUGGUAAGGUAACGGCUUACCAAGGCGAAGACGGGUAGCUGGUCUGAGAGGACGGACAGGCCACACUGGAACUGAGACACGGUCCAGACUCUACGGGAGGCAGCAGUGGGGAAUCUUGCGCAAU
rnacentral:rRNA from 1 species